AAAGUCGUAACAAGGUCUCCGUUGGUGAACCAGCGGAGGGAUCAUUACAGAGUUGAAAAACUCCAACCCCUGUGAACAUACCUUUACUGUUGCUUCGGCGGACGAUGGCCCCCCCCGGGGGCCGGACGCCGCCGGAGGUUACAAACCCUGAAUUUUAGUGUAUCUCUGAGUAUAAAACCAAAUAAUUAAAACUUUCAACAACGGAUCUCUUGGUUCUG
rnacentral:misc_RNA from 1 species